rnacentral:lncRNA from 1 species
UGCAACAAGAGCCACUCUUUUCUUUCCUUUGUCCUGUCCUGAAAGGGGGCAGGGACGGAGCAGGAGAGCCUGCAGACGCAGGGGACGUGCCAGACGUGCAACAGGAAGGGCUCGGCGAGAAGAGGACUGCGAGGAAGGAAGGCAGCCCCCAAGAAGUGGCAGGGGCCGCAUCCAGUCAUUUGUGACCCUGGAGCACGGAGCCCAUAGCUAAGAACGGAUGACUCAAACGUCUACUGUCCCCCAGUGUGGGAAUAGCAGAAAACCGGGACAGGGCUCUGCGACAGGCUGCCAGGGUUGAAUCCUGGCUCUGCUGACCACCAGCCCCAACACCGUGCUAUAAGCUCGAGGUGCGUCCGAUUCUUCAUUUGUAAACUGCAGAUAAUAAUGGUAUCUCAC